rnacentral:rRNA from 1 species
AUGCCGCGUGUGUGAUGAAGGUCUUAGGAUCGUAAAGCACUUUCGCCAGGGAUGAUAAUGACAGUACCUGGUAAAGAAACCCCGGCUAACUCCGUGCCAGCAGCCGCGGUAAUACGGAGGGGGUUAGCGUUGUUCGGAAUUACUGGGCGUAAAGCGUACGUAGGCGGAUUGGAAAGUUGGGGGUGAAAUCCCAGGGCUCAACCCUGGAACUGCCUCCAAAACUAUCAGUCUAGAGUUCGAGAGAGGUGAGUGGAAUUCCAAGUGUAGAGGUGAAAUUCGUAGAUAUUUGGAGGAACACCAGUGGCGAAGGCGGCUCACUGGCUCGAUACUGACGCUGAGGUACGAAAGUGUGGGGAGCAAACAGGAUUAGAUACCCUGGUAGUCCACACCGUAAACGAUGAAUGCCAGUCGUCGGGCAGUAUACUGUUCGGUGACACACCUAACGGAUUAAGCAUUCCGCCUGGGGAGUACGGUCGCAAGAUUAAAACUCAAAG